GACGGGGCCCGCACAAGCGGAGGAGCAUGUGGUUUAAUUCGAUGAUACGCGAGGAACCUUACCUGGGCUCGAACGUAAGAUGACUGUAGGUGAAAGCUUACAUCUCUUCGGAGCAUUUUACGAGGUGCUGCAUGGUUGUCGUCAGCUCGUGCCGUGAGGUGUCGGGUUAAGUCCCAUAACGAGCGCAACCCUACCUUUAGUUGCCAUCAGGUAAUGCUGGGGACUCUAGAGGAACUGCCUACGCAAGUAGUGAGGAAGGCGGGGAUGACGUCAAAUCAGCACGGCCCUUACGUCCAGGGCUACACACGUGCUACAAUGGCCGAUACAGAGGGCAGCUACCUGGUGACAGGAUGCAAAUCUCCAAAGUCGGUCUCAGUUCGGAUCGGAGUCUGCAACCCGACUCCGUGAAGUUGGAUUCGCUAGUAAUCGCGCAUCAGCCAUGGCGCGGUGAAUACGUUCCCGGGCCUU
rnacentral:rRNA from 1 species